rnacentral:rRNA from 1 species
UACGUAGGGGGCAAGCGUUGUCCGGAUUUACUGGGCGUAAAGGGCGCGUAGGCGGCCCGCACAAGUCUGCGGUGAAAACCCCCGGCUUAACCGGGGGCCGGCCGUGGAAACUGUCGGGCUGGAGGCUGGGAGAGGGCAGCGGAAUUCCCGGUGUAGCGGUGAAAUGCGUAGAGAUCGGGAGGAACACCGGCGGCGAAGGCGGCUGCCUGGACCAGUCCUGACGCUGAGGCGCGAAAGCUAGGGGAGCAAACAGG